rnacentral:rRNA from 1 species
GACGAACGCUGGCGGCGUGCCUAAUACAUGCCAGUUGAGCGCUGAAGGUUGGUACUUGUACCAACUGGAUGAGCAGCGAACGGGUGAGUAACGCGUGGGGAAUCUGCCUUUGAGCGGGGGACAACAUUUGGAAACGAAUGCUAAUACCGCAUAAAAACUUUAAACACAAGUUUUAAGUUUGAAAGAUGCAAUUGCAUCACUCAAAGAUGAUCCCGCGUUGUAUUAGCUAGUUGGUGAGGUAAAGGCUCACCAAGGCGAUGAUACAUAGCCGACCUGAGAGGGUGAUCGGCCACAUUGGGACUGAGACACGGCCCAAACUCCUACGGGAGGCAGCAGUAGGGAAUCUUCGGCAAUGGACGAAAGUCUGACCGAGCAACGCCGCGUGAGUGAAGAAGGUUUUCGGAUCGUAAAACUCUGUUGGUAGAGAAGAACGUUGGUGAGAGUGGAAAGCGCAUCAAGUGACGGUAACUACCCAGAAAGGGACGGCUAACUACGUG